ensembl:ncRNA K08A8.22 ncRNA
GUUGAGUCAGUCGUACAUCAUAAUUUAGAUGCCCAAGACUGGUAGACAAUAGAAGUGUGGCAAGAUAAUUAAUAGGAUCCCCAGCCUCCGGACCACGCGGAUGAAACCCCCCGCUGGUUUUUGCGAGGGCACCUUGGUUACCUGUAAGACUCACACCGACACUCGCCCUGCUUAUUACCUCCACGCUCGGCAUGUGUCGGUAGUUAGGUGUCAUG